rnacentral:rRNA from 1 species
AGAGUUUGAUCCUGGCUCAGAGUGAACGCUGGCGGCGUGCUUAACACAUGCAAGUCGAACGAUGAAGCUUUAGCUUGCUAGAGUGGAUUAGUGGCGCACGGGUGAGGAAUAUAUAGCUAAUGUGCCCCUUAGAGGGGGAUAACAGUUGGAAACGACUGCUAAUACCCCAUACUCCUUCUUACUAUAAGGUAAGUUGGGAAAGUUUUUUCGCUAAGGGAUCGGGCUAUACGGUAUCAGCUUGUUGGUGAGGUAAUGGCUCACCAAGGCUAUGACGCCUAUCUGGUCUGAGAGGAUGAUCAGACACACUGGAACUGAGACACGGUCCAGACUCCUACGGGAGGCAGCAGUGGGGAAUAUUACACAAUGGAGGAAACUCUGAUGUAGCAACGCCGCGUGGAGGAUGACACAUUUCUGUGCCUAAACUCCUU